rnacentral:pre_miRNA from 1 species
GUGUCUGCUGUUGGAUGCGCUUGAUGGUCGCUCCCUUGGGCCCAACCACCAGUCCCACCACGCGGUAGGGAAC